AGAAAAUGGCACGCGGCGGCGGGCAACGAGAGCGCACGGAGGCACGUACCUGCAACCAGACGAGAAGGUUCGAGGGGAUCAGGGAAAGAGUUGAGCAGCCAGUGCGGUGGUUGGAGGAGGCAGAGGAGGCGCCAUGAUCUGAGGGCGGCAACGGGAAGAGGAGAAGGUGUGGGCAGCGACGGGGGAGGAAGACGGGCGGCGCUG
rnacentral:lncRNA from 1 species